rnacentral:rRNA from 1 species
CGACCAGACUCCUACGGGAGGCAGCAGUGGGGAAUAUUGCACAAUGGGCGCAAGCCUGAUGCAGCCAUGCCGCGUGUAUGAAGAAGGCCUUCGGGUUGUAAAGUACUUUCAGCGGGGAGGAAGGUGUUGAGGUUAAUAACCUCAGCAAUUGACGUUACCCGCAGAAGAAGCACCGGCUAACUCCGUGCCAGCAGCCGCGGUAAUACGGAGGGUGCAAGCGUUAAUCGGAAUUACUGGGCGUAAAGCGCACGCAGGCGGUCUGUCAAGUCGGAUGUGAAAUCCCCGGGCUCAACCUGGGAACUGCAUUCGAAACUGGCAGGCUGGAGUCUUGUAGAGGGGGGUAGAAUUCCAGGUGUAGCGGUGAAAUGCGUAGAGAUCUGGAGGAAUACCGGUGGCGAAGGCGACCCCCUGGACAAAGACUGACGCUCAGGUGCGAAAGCGUGGGGAGCAAACAGGAUUAGAUACCCUUGUA